AACGCUAGCGGCAGGCUUAACACAUGCAAGUCGAGGGGUAACAUAGAAAAGCUUGCUUUUCUGAUGACGACCGGCGCACGGGUGCGUAACGCGUAUACAAUCUGCCUUAUACUGGGGUAUAGCCUUUAGAAAUGAAGAUUAACCCCCCAUAGUCUCUUUAAAUGGCAUCAUUUUUAGAGUAAAGGUUACGGUAUAAGAUGAGUAUGCGUUCUAUUAGUUUGUUGGUGAGGUAACGGCUCACCAAGACUGCGAUAGAUAGGGGCCCUGAGAGGGGGAUCCCCCACACUGGUACUGAGACACGGACCAGACUCCUACGGGAGGCAGCAGUGAGGAAUAUUGGACAAUGGAGGCAACUCUGAUCCAGCCAUGCCGCGUGCAGGAAGACUGCCCUAUGGGUUGUAAACUGCUUUUAUACAGGAAGAAACCUUGGUACGUGUACCAAGCUGACGGUACUGUAAGAAUAAGGAUCGG
rnacentral:rRNA from 1 species